UCGGACGGGUGAGUAACGCGUGGAAAACCUGCCGUAUACUGGGGGAUAACACUUAGAAAUAGGUGCUAAUACCGCAUAAGCGCACAGCUUCGCAUGAAGCGGUGUGAAAAACUCUGGUGGUAUACGAUGGUUCCGCGUCUGAUUAGCUAGUUGGUGGGGUAAUGGCCUAACCAAGGCAACGAUCAGUAGCCGGCCUGAGAGGGUGAACGGCCACAUUGGGACUGAGACACGGCCCAAACUCCUACGGGAGGCAGCAG
rnacentral:rRNA from 1 species